UACAGAGGGUGCGAGCGUUGUUCGGAAUUACUGGGCGUAAAGCGCGCGCAGGCGGCUUCUUAAGUCUUGCGGUGAAAUGCCGGGGCUCAACCCCGUGCCCGCCGGAGAUACUGGGGAGCUGGAGACGAGUAGAGGCAAGCGGAAUUCCGGGUGUAGCGGUGGAAUGCGUAGAGAUCCGGAAGAACACCGGAGGCGAAGGCGGCUUGCUGGGCUCGGUCUGACGCUGAGGCGCGAAAGCGUGGGGAGCGAACAGG
rnacentral:rRNA from 1 species